UGGGGAAUUUUGGACAAUGGGCGAAAGCCUGAUCCAGCAAUGCCGCGUGUGUGAAGAAGGCCUUCGGGUUGUAAAGCACUUUUGUCCGGAAAGAAAUCCUUGGCUCUAAUACAGUCGGGGGAUGACGGUACCGGAAGAAUAAGCACCGGCUAACUACGUGCCAGCAGCCGCGGUAAUACGUAGGGUGCAAGCGUUAAUCGGAAUUACUGGGCGUAAAGCGUGCGCAGGCGGUUUGCUAAGACCGAUGUGAAAUCCCCGGGCUCAACCUGGGAACUGCAUUGGUGACUGGCAGGCUAGAGUAUGGCAGAGGGGGUAGAAUUCCACGUGUAGCAGUGAAAUGCGUAGAGAUGUGGAGGAAUACCGAUGGCGAAGGCAGCCCCCUGGGCCAAUACUGACGCUCAUGCACGAAAGCGUGGGGAGCAAACAGGAUUAGAUACCCUGGUAGUCCACGCCCUAAACGAUGUCAACUAGUUGUUGGGGAUUCAUUUCCUUAGUAACGUAGCUAACGCGUGAAGUUGACCGCCUGGGGAGUACGGUCGCAAGAUUAAAACUC
rnacentral:rRNA from 1 species